CAGCAGCCGCGGGAACACGUAGGGCGCAAGCGUUAUCCGGAAUUAUUGGGCGUAAAGAGCUCGUAGGCGGUUUGUCGCGUCUGCCGUGAAAGUCCGGGGCUCAACCCCGGAUCUGCGGUGGGUACGGGCAGACUAGAGUGAUGUAGGGGAGACUGGAAUUCCUGGUGUAGCGGUGAAAUGCGCAGAUAUCAGGAGGAACACCGAUGGCGAAGGCAGGUCUCUGGGCAUUAACUGACGCUGAGGAGCGAAAGCAUGGGGAGCGAACAGGAUUAGAUACCCCUGUAGUCCCUGUCUCUUAUAC
rnacentral:rRNA from 1 species